rnacentral:rRNA from 1 species
CGGAGGCAGCAGUGGGGAAUAUUGGACAAUGGGCGCAAGCCUGAUCCAGCCAUGCCGCGUGAGUGAUGAAGGUCUUAGGAUUGUAAAGCUCUUUCACCGAUGAAGAUAAUGACGGUAGUCGGAGAAGAAGCCCCGGCUAACUUCGUGCCAGCAGCCGCGGUAAUACGAAGGGGGCUAGCGUUGUUCGGAAUUACUGGGCGUAAAGCGCACGUAGGCGGAUAUUUAAGUCAGGGGUGAAAUCCCGCAGCUCAACUGCGGAACUGCCUUUGAUACUGGGUAUCUUGAGUAUGGAAGAGGUGAGUGGAAUUCCGAGUGUAGAGGUGAAAUUCGUAGAUAUUCGGAGGAACACCAGUGGCGAAGGCGGCUCACUGGUCCAUUACUGACGCUGAGGUGCGAAAGCGUGGGGAGCAAACAGGAUUAGAUACCCGUGUAGUCCG